rnacentral:rRNA from 1 species
GUAUAAUGGGUCAGCGACUUAUAUUCUGUAGCAAGGUUAACCGAAUAGGGGAGCCGGAGGGAAACCGAGUCUUAACCGGGCGUUAAGUUGCAGGGUAUAGACCCGAAACCCGGUGAUCUAGCCAUGGGCAGGUUGAAGGUUGGGUAACACUAACUGGAGGACCGAACCGACUAAUGUUGAAAAAUUAGCGGAUGACCUGUGGCUGGGGGUGAAAGGCCAAUCAAACCGGGAGAUAGCUGGUUCUCCCCGAAAGCUAUUUAGGUAGCGCCUCGUGAAUUCAUCUCCGGGGGUAGAGCACUGUUUCGGCUAGGGGGCCAUCCCGGCUUACCAACCCGAUGCAAACUGCGAAUACCGGAGAAUGUUAUCACGGGAGACACACGGCGGGUGCUAACGUCCGUCGUGAAGAGGGAAACAACCCAGACCGCCAGCUAAGGUCCCAAAGUCAUGGUUAAGUGGGAAACGAUGUGGGAAGGCCCAGACAGCCAGGAUGUUGGCUUAGAAGCAGCCAUCAUUUAAAGAAAGCGUAAUAGCUCACUGGUCGAGUCGGCCUGCGCGGAAGAUGUAACGGGGCUAAACCAUGCACCGAAGCUGCGGCAGCGACACUGUGUGUUGUUGGGUA